UUUCUUUUGAUACUUAAAUGCUUCUUGAGCCUAGUAAUUAUUUAUUUGAAUGGAAAUUAGUUGAUAUUUAUAGACAAAUUCGAAGAGUUGAUUUGGCGAAUUUGAAAUGAUUAAGAAAACUGUUUGCCACUGUUAACUUAAAGCCCGAGCGCCUCCGAAGGACACCUAACACCUCAAGGGCAGCUGCUUUGCGAAUGUAUCCACUACCGGAACGCAAUCGCGACCCGCUGAGAAGAUCCGGCG